UCUUGGUCAUUUAGAGGAAGUAAAAGUCGUAACAAGGUUUCCGUAGGUGAACCUGCGGAAGGAUCAUUCAUAAUAAGUGUUUUAUGGCACUUUUUAAAUCCAUAUCCACCUUGUGUGCAAUGUCAGUUGUUCUCUUUUUUGAGAAUGACCAAACAUCAACUUAUUCUCUAACUCUUUGUCUGAAAAAUAUUAUGAAUAAAAUAAUUCAAAAUACAACUCUCAACAACGGAUCUCUUGGCUCUCGCAUCGAUGAAGAACGCAGCGAAAUGCGAUACGUAAUGUGAAUUGCAGAAUUCAGUGAAUCAUCGAAUCUUUGAACGCAUAUUGCGCUCUUUGGUAUUCCGAAGAGCAUGCUUGUUUGAGUAUCAGUAAACACCUCAAAGACUUUCAAUUUGUUUUGAAUGGCUUUGGACUUGAGCAAUCCCAACACCAGUCUUUACGACCAGUGGAGGGUUGCUUGAAAUGUAGGUGCAGCUGACAUUCUCCUGAGCUAAAAGCAUAUUUAUUUAGUCCCGUCAAACGGAUUAUUACUUUUGCUGCAGCUAACAUAAAGGGAGUUUGACCGUAUUGGCUGACUGAUGCAGGAUUUCACAAGGGUCGGCAACGAUUCUUGUAAAACUCGAUCUCAAAUCAAGUAAGACUACCCGCUGAACUUAAGCAUAUCAAUAAGCGGAGGA
rnacentral:rRNA from 1 species